rnacentral:rRNA from 1 species
CCUACGGGGGGCAGCAGUGGGGAAUAUUGCACAAUGGGGGAAACCCUGAUGCAGCAACGCCGCGUGAUCGAUGAAGGCCUUCGGGUCGUAAAGCUCUGUCCUAAGGGAAGAAUACUGACGGUACCUUAGGAGGAAGCACCGGCUAACUACGUGCCAGCAGCCGCGGUAAUACGUAGGGGGCUAACGUUAUCCGAAGUUACAGGGCGAAAAGGGUGCGAAGGCGGACUUUCAAGUCAGAGGUAAAAGGCUACGGCUAAACCGUAGUAAGCCUUUGAAACUGUAGGGCAUGAGUGCGGGAGAGGAGAGUGUAGUUCCCAGUGUAGCGGUGAAAUGAGUGGAUAUUGGCGGGAACACCAGUUGCGAAGGCGGAUCACUGGACUGUAACUGACGCUGAGGCACGAAAGCGUGGGGAGCGAACAGGAUUAGAUACCCAGGUAGUC